GGGCCUGUAGUUCAGUUGGCUAGAACAUCGCAUUUGCAAUGCGAAGGUCACCGGUUCGAGCCCGGUCAGGUCCA
rnacentral:tRNA from 1 species